rnacentral:rRNA from 1 species
UACGUAGGAUGCGAGCGUUAAUCGGAAUUACUGGGCGUAAAGCGUGCGCAGGCGGUGAUGUAAGACAGGUGUGAAAUCCCCGGGCUUAACCUGGGAACUGCAUUUGUGACUGCAUCGCUGGAGUGCGGCAGAGGGGGGAUGGAAUUCCGCGUGUAGCAGUGAAAUGCGUAGAUAUGCGGAGGAACACCGAUGGCGAAGGCAAUCCCCUGGGCCUGCACUGACGCUCAUGCACGAAAGCGUGGGGAGCAAACAGGAUAGAAACCCCAUAGCCA